UGGCGGACGGGGUGAGUAUCGCGUAGGAACGUGUCGUGAGGUGGGGGACAACCCUGGGAAACUGGGGCUAAUACCGCAUAGGGACUGAGGUCCAAAGCCGUGAGGCGCCUUAUGAGCGGCCUGCGUCCGAUUAGGUAGUUGGUGGGGUAAAGGCCUACCAAGCCUGCGAUCGGUAGCUGGUCUGAGAGGACGAUCAGCCACACUGGGACUGAGACACGGCCCAG
rnacentral:rRNA from 1 species